rnacentral:lncRNA from 1 species
ACUGAGCAGCAUGCAAUUGGUCUGUACUCUUUACCUGUGGUUGGGUUGGGGACUUUGGGGAUUAAUGUAAGAGUGGCACAAUUUAUUGGCUUAUACAUCUUGGUUGUUUGGAAGAACUUCUUGAUUGCACUAAUGAUCUGCUUGCCAAUGAUGUUCCAGGUUUUCUUGAAAUAUACUGCAUUAUAUCCAUAAAUUCCUGGAGCUUUGUCA